rnacentral:rRNA from 1 species
GGGCUUAAAGCGCGCGUAGGCGGUGACUUAAGCGUGUGGUGAAAGCCCGGGGCUCAACCCCGGGUCGGCCGUGCGAACUGGGUCACUCGAGCACUGUAGAGGCAGGUGGAAUUCCGGGUGUAGCGGUGGAAUGCGUAGAGAUCCGGAAGAACACCAGUGGCGAAGGCGGCCUGCUGGGCAGUAGCUGACGCUGAGGCGCGACAGCGUGGGGAGCAAACAGGAUUAGAUACCCUGGUAGUCCCACGCCGUAAACGAUGGGCACUAGGUGCUUGGGGGAACGACCCCCGAGUGCCGGCGCUAACGCAUUAAGUGCCCCGCCUGGGGAGUACGGCCGCAAGGCUGAAACU